GUACUUGGGUGGAAUGUUCAGGGGAUCGUGGGGCCAGAUGUAAGUGUACUAGCUACCCACUGAAUUAACCAUUUCCCAUCAUUUUUGUUCACCAUUUCCAAUUCACUUCCUAUUCCUAAAAUAUGACCUCUGUUUCCUCGAACCUCUUUUCACACACUUUCUGCUCUCAGGAACUUUCCAUGUUCCGUUCUAUAUUGUCUUCGUUUACCGCCAGAGGGUAAGCAGACUCACCACCAGAGGGUAAGCUUUUAAAAGCAGGUUCUGUGUCUCCUUUACCUAUUAAA
rnacentral:lncRNA from 1 species